rnacentral:rRNA from 1 species
AUUGAACGCUGGCGGCAGGCCUAACACAUGCAAGUCGAGCGGACGAAGGGAGCUCGCUCCUGGAUUCAGCGGCGGACGGGUGAGUAAUGCCUAGGAAUCUGCCUGGUAGUGGGGGAUAACGUCCGGAAACGGGCGCUAAUACCGCAUACGUCCUGAGGGAGAAAGUGGGGGAUCUUCGGACCUCACGCUAUCAGAUGAGCCUAGGUCGUAUUAGCUAGUUGGUGGGGUAAAGGCCUACCAAGGCGACGAUCCGUAGCUGGUCUGAGAGGAUGAUCAGUCACACUGGAACUGAGACACGGUCCAGACUCCUACGGGAGGCAGCAGUAGGGAAUAUUGGACAAUGGGCGAAAGCCUGAUCCAGCCAUGCCGCGUGUGUGAAGAAGGUCUUCGGAUUGUAAAGCACUUUAAGUUGGGAAGAAGAACAGUAAGUUAAUACCUUGCUGUUUUGACGUUACCAACAGAAUAAGCACCGGCUAACUUCGUG